rnacentral:rRNA from 1 species
GCCGUGAAAGUCCGAGGCUCAACCUCGGAUCUGCGGUGGGUACGGGCAGACUAGAGUGAUGUAGGGGAGACUGGAAUUCCUGGUGUAGCGGUGAAAUGCGCAGAUAUCAGGAGGAACACCGAUGGCGAAGGCAGGUCUCUGGGCAUUUACUGACGCUGAGGAGCGAAAGCAUGGGGAGCGAACAGGAUUAGAUACCCUGGUAGUCCAUGCCGUAAACGUUGGGCACUAGGUGUGGGGGACAUUCCACGUUUUCCGCGCCGUAGCUAACGCAUUAAGUGCCCCCCCUGGGGAGUACGCCCGCAAGGCUAAAACUCAAAGGAAUUGACGGGGGCCCGCACAAGCGGCGGAGCAUGCGGAUUAAUUCGAUGCAACGCGAAGAACCUUACCAAGGCUUGACAUGUGCCAGACCGCCUCAGAGAUGGGGUUUCCCUUCGGGGCUGGUUCACAGGUGGUGCAUGGUUGUCGUCAGCUCGUGUCGUGAGAUGUUGGGUUAAGUCCCGCAACGAGCGCAACCCUCGUUCCAUGUUGCCAGCACGUAGUGGUGGGGACUCAUGGGAGACUGCCGGGGUCAACUCGGAGGAAGGUGGGGAUGACGUCAAAUCAUCAUGCCCCUUAUGUCUUGGGCUUCACGCAUGCUACAAUGGCCGGUACAAUGGGUUGCGAUACUGUGAGGUGGAGCUAAUCCCUAAAAGCCGGUCUCAGUUCGGAUUGGGGUCUGCAACUCGACCCCAUGAAGUCGGAGUCGCUAGUAAUCGCAGAUCAGCAACGCUGCGGUGAAUACGUUCCCGGGCCUUGUACACACCGCCCGUCAAGUCACGAAAGUUGGUAACACCCAAAGCCGAUGGCCUAACCACCUUGUGUGGGGGGAGUCGUCGAAGGUGGGACUGGCGAUUGGGACUAAGUCGUAACAAGGUAGCCGUA